rnacentral:rRNA from 1 species
CCUACGGGUGGCAGCAGUGAGGAAUAUUGGUCAAUGGGCGGGAGCCUGAACCAGCCAAGCCGCGUGAGGGAAGACGGUCCUAUGGAUUGUAAACCUCUUUAGUCGGGGAGCAAUGCCGGGCACGCGUGCCCGGAGGGAGGGUACCCGCAGAAUAAGCAUCGGCUAACCCCGUGCCAGCGGCCGCGGUAAUAGGGAGGAUGCGAGCGUUAUCCGGAUUUAUUGGGUUUAAGGGUUGCGUAGGCGGAUUUUUAAGUCAGCGGUAAAAUGUCCGGGCUCAACCCGGGCCGGCCGUUGAAACUGGCGAUCUUGAGUGGGCGAGAAGUACGCGGAAUGCGUGGUGUAGCGGUGAAAUGCUUAGAUAGCACGCAGAACUCCGAGUGCGAAGGCAGCAUACCGGCGCCCGACUGACGCUGAGGCACGAAAGCGUGGGGAUCGAACAGGAUUAGAUACCCUUGUAGUC